rnacentral:rRNA from 1 species
GAAUAUUGGACAAUGGGGGAAACCCUGAUCCAGCGACGCCGCGUGGGUGAAGAAGGCCUGCGGGUUGUAAAGCCCUUUCGGUAGGGACGAAAGCUCUUGCCUUAAUACGGCAGGAGGUUGACUUAACCUACAUAAGAAGCACCGGCUAACUCUGUGCCAGCAGCCGCGGUAAUACAGAGGGUGCGAGCGUUAAUCGGAAUUACUGGGCGUAAAGCGCACGUAGUCGGCUUUGCAAGUCGGGUGUGAAAUCCCCGGGCUCAACCUGGGAACUGCAUCCGAGACUGCAUUGCUAGAGUAUGGGAGAGGGAAGCGGAAUUUCUGGUGUAGCAGUGAAAUGCGUAGAUAUCAGAAGGAACAUCAGUGGCGAAGGCGGCUUCCUGGACCAAUACUGACGAUCAGGUGCGAAAGCGUGGGGAGCAAACAGG